rnacentral:lncRNA from 1 species
UCUAGAGGCCAGAGCCUGAAAUCCAGGUGUCAUCAGGGCCGUGCUCCCUCGGGAGACUGCUGGGGAGGAUCCUUCCUUUGCUUCUCCAGCUUCUGGUGGCUCCAAGCGUUCCUUGACUGUGUCUGCAUCCCUCCAGUCUCUGCUGCCAUCUUACGGCCUCUUCUUCCUCUCUGUGUGUCUCAUAAGGAUGCUUGGGGCCACCUGGAUGAUCCAGGAGACUCUCAUCUCGAGAUCCUUAAUUACAUCUGUGAAGACCAUUUUUCCAAGUUUUCAAAUGAAUUCGAGUGUAACAAAAGCGUAGUUAGAAAGCCAGCAACACCUGGAGGUUUUCUUCACCCGCUCGGGCGAUCGUAGUCGCUGCUUGUUACAAAGGCGGAUCGUGUCUGCUCAGAAGUGCCCAGCAAACCGUCUACACAGCUACUUGUUAGCAGCUCAGCGAGAACACCUCUCAGACUGACGUGGUGAAUGGCUGGCUGGACUGUUUUUAAGUUUUUCUGGGUUUCUUUUGCCACCUUUAUAACAAAAUCCGGUUCCCUUCAAGUCCACGCGUCUGAGAUUUGGUGCUCUCAGAACGAGUAUAGUGCUAGACUUCCGCACCAAGAACCCCCAGUGCCGUAAAGCUCGCUCUCUGGCUCACAAUGAAGGGUUAAAAAUGUGAGCCGUGGGACAACUGUGUCAUCAGCUCUUGCACUCAUGAGAUUUACAAGAACUUGGAGCUGUCCCCAGGACUCCACCUGCACUCCCAGCUCUGGUCGGUUGCGGGGUCCAAGGCUGGGAUCCCAACAUCCCGGGGCUUCGAGUACCUCUGUAGUCUUCCCGUGGAAGAUCAUGCUGCAAGGCCCUGUGGCACCCCGGAUUCCCGGCCCCCAAACCCUGAGCCUCUUCCAGAGCCUGCGUGUGCCCGCGGGUGGAUCUGCCAAAGGGUAGACAAAGCCACAGACGUGCACCAUCCAGGCCCAAAGGAUCCGAGGAGCAGCUGGCGACUCAGUGUGAACAUGCAGCUGCGGCAUCCACAACGUGACCAUGUGGCCCCUUGGUAGCAAGAAACAUGGUGGAGGGGCCCAUGGACCAUUUUCCAUUCUAACUGCCACCUGGGGCCCACAAGUAUCAGGGGCCUGGGGUGGAGGCAGAAGCAGAUGGCUUCCUCGAGUCCAGCUCAGCAUCCUCCUCUGAGGACAGCAACAGGAGCGCCUUUUCCGGGAGAGAAUGAGGAUGAACUAAGGAACGCGCAGCGCUUUGUGGUCAGCUGACAGGCGCAGUUCCAAGUACAGAGGAUUCGCGCUGAAGCUGGCUUGUCGGCCUUGAGGCCCCUCCAGAAGUCUUCGGGAGGCCCGUUGGCUUGCUGGUGGCUCGACCCACAAGGACAAAGACAGAAGACUGGGGGUACAAGCAACAACAUCAAAAUGCGCCAGCUCGGGGCGGCCAAAGAGAGCGGCACUGAGGUCCCAGCGAUCUGCCGCAGGUGGCUCCUCGGCGGGCUCAGGUGGAAGGAAGCCGGGUGGUGACAACGCAGGAGGGACCAACCUUCUCCAAACAGAGAGGCCACGGGACCUGGGGAAAGCCGCCAUGCGUGUGGAGGCUGCACCAACUGGUCACCAUGGACCCCACCAGGGGAAGUGAGCAAGUCAUGCGCAGGCCGCAGUGCCCAGGUUAGACCACGGCACCUGCUCCAGGUCACCGUGUUUCGGCGGCAGAGGGCUCCAGCUUCAACGGGCCUCGAAUCAAAUCCGCGCUCCGCCACUCACGAACUGAGUUCCCUUGGGCAACUGACCUUCCCUGUGCCUCGAUUCACACAACAAUAUAAUGUUCAUAACUCUAGUACCUACCUCAUAGGCUGACGUGAGGAUUAAGUGAUGAUGAGCAUUUAAUGCAAGAUUUCGUUUAAUAUUUUAACAGUUCUCAGACAUAGACAGUCUUCGUUAAACAUCGGCUAUUGUUAAUAUUAUUGUGUCCAUCUUAUCCUUGUGUCUUAUGGUAAAAAGCCAGGUACUUUUGUAUUAACUUGGAAGAGAAAACUCACUUAGUAGAGAUAGUUAUUGUAUCUCUUAUCUCUGCUCUUAGAUUGCAGUCUGUUUAAGGACAGUGGCUGUGUCUUAAUUUUUGUUUGUUGACUAGAAAUGAGGUCGCACUUGUGAUAAAUCUGGAGGUUGAACAGAAC